rnacentral:rRNA from 1 species
UUAGUACGGCGAGUGAAGCGGUAAAAGCUCAAAUUUGAAAUCUGGUACUUUCAGUGCCCGAGUUGUAAUUUGUAGAAUUUGUCUUUGAUUAGGUCCUUGUCUAUGUUCCUUGGAACAGGACGUCAUAGAGGGUGAGAAUCCCGUUUGGCGAGGAUACCUUUUCUCUGUAAGACUUUUUCGAAGAGUCGAGUUGUUUGGGAAUGCAGCUCAAAGUGGGUGGUAAAUUCCAUCUAAAGCUAAAUAUUGGCGAGAGACCGAUAGCGAACAAGUACAGUGAUGGAAAGAUGAAAAGAACUUUGAAAAGAGAGUGAAAAAGUACGUGAAAUUGUUGAAAGGGAAGGGCAUUUGAUCAGACAUGGUGUUUUUUGCAUGCACUCGCCUCUCGUGGGCUUGGGCCUCUCAAAAAUUUCACUGGGCCAACAUCAAUUCUGGCAGCAGGAUAAAUCAUUAAGAAUGUAGCUACUUCGGUAGUGUUAUAGCUUUUUGGAAUACUGUUAGCCGGGAUUGAGGACUGCGCUUCGGCAAGGAUGUUGGCAUAAUGGUUAAAUGCCGCCCGUCUUGAAACACGGACCAA